rnacentral:rRNA from 1 species
UACGUAGGGGGCAAGCGUUGUCCGGAAUUAUUGGGCGUAAAGAGCGUGUAGGCGGUCCGGUAAGUCGGCUGUGAAAGUCCAGGGCUCAACCCCUGGGGAUGCCGGUCGAUACUGCCGGACUAGAGUUCGGAAGAGGCGAGUGGAAUUCCCCGGUGUAGCGGUGAAAUGCGCAGAUAUCGGGGAGGAACACCUAUGGCGAAGGCAGCUCGCUGGGACGUUACUGACGCUGAGGCACGAAAGCGUGGGGAUCAAACAGG